rnacentral:rRNA from 1 species
AUUGAACGCUGGCGGCAGGCCUAACACAUGCAAGUCGAGCGGAUGACGGGAGCUUGCUCCUUGAUUCAGCGGCGGACGGGUGAGUAAUGCCUAGGAAUCUGCCUGGUAGUGGGGGACGACGUUUCGAAAGGAACGCUAAUACCGCAUACGUCCUACGGGAGAAAGCAGGGGACCUUCGGGCCUUGCGCUAUCAGAUGAGCCUAGGUCGGAUUAGCUAGUUGGUGGGGUAAUGGCUCACCAAGGCGACGAUCCGUAACUGGUCUGAGAGGAUGAUCAGUCACACUGGAACUGAGACAAGGUCCAGACUCCUACGGGAGGCAGCAGUGGGGAAUAUUGGACAAUGGGCGAAAGCCUGAUCCAGCCAUGCCGCGUGUGUGAAGAAGGUCUUCGGAUUGUAAAGCACUUUAAGUUGGGAGGAAGGGCAGUAAGCUAAUACCUUGCUGUUUUGACGUUACCGACAGAAUAAGCACCGGCUAACUCUGUGCCAGCCGCCGCAGUAA